ensembl:lncRNA
GUUUGAGCUCAGCUGAGCUGGAAGGAUGGAUUUACUUUGAUGGGUUUCCAGCCCUCAGAGACUGACGCACCUCCACAAAGAUGACCUAGCACCUGUCUGGAGGAGCAAAGCUUGGUGUUAAGACGCAGGGCGAGGAGCGAAGGGGAAGAGCGCACGCCAAGGUCACAUCUGCAGCAGCAGCGACGGCAGCUGCACAGCAGCGAUAUUAAACCUCCCUCUGGUGUAGGAUACACACACAGACACUUCUUAAGAGCAACAACGAUCCACAUGAAUUGGAGCAGUCCCCAGAGGAGAGCUGCGUGGCUGGCGUGGCAGCGGGUGACCGAAGGGCACACAGUGAGGGUGGGAGCGGCGUGCCCGGCUGUAGAUGAGAGAUUCUCAGCUUUAUCACCCCCAAGUUUGGCAGUGAUUUGCAAAUGGGGAGACACUCAGCUCACCGCUUGCAAGGAAGCAGUGUGACCUGUGCCAAGAAGCAACGAGCAUCAGAAGGUGGAUAUUUCAAGUGAGCGGAACGAAGAUUAUCUACUUUUGUUGCUGCUUUUAAAGCACAGUAGGAGGCAUCAGCUCUCCCACCUCUCUACUGGUACUCACUGUACCUCCUGGCUUCUCUGUCCAAAGCUGCUGGGGGCAAUGGCACCUUCCAGCAACUCCCUGCGAGCUGGAAACCUCCAGAGAAGCGGAGCAGAGCUGGAACACAAGGAGAUAACGGAGCCCGAGCCCAUUCAAGACUCAGAGAGCAAAACUGCCCGGGUGUCUGUGAGGGUGUAAUGCUCAGCACCAUCUAGUGGUCGUCACCUGCGGCUAUUCGCUCACACAACGCCACGAACGGGGCCUGUUUGAUUUACGGCACUUUUCUUCCCCAUAGCUAAUCUGUCAAGAGACGUGCAGCCCGCUCUGGCGUUUCGCAGGGCUCUGUAAGGACUGCUCAAGUUCUAAUCUCAUUGCUUGGGCUGACUUUCCUCCUCGCGAGGAGGAGAUGUUUUUCCUAAGGGAGAAUAUCCGUAAAAUAGGGGCAGUCUUUUAAGAUAUCAGCAGAGCUAUUUGAGAUACGCGGCUGAACGACAUCCAGUAUUGGUGCCAUUUAUCACAGCGGAGCCAGAGGGGGAGAAA